rnacentral:rRNA from 1 species
GAUGAACGCUGGCGGCGUGCCUAAUACAUGCAAGUCGAGCGAACGGACGAGAAGCUUGCCUCUCUGAUGUUAGCGGCGGACGGGUGAGUAACACGUGGAUAACCUACCUAUAAGACUGGGAUAACUUCGGGAAACCGGAGCUAAUACCGGAUGAUAUUUUGAACCGCAUGGUUCAAAAGUGAAAGACGGUCUUGCUGUCACUUAUAGAUGGAUCCGCGCUGCAUUAGCUAGUUGGUAAGGUAACGGCUUACCAAGGCAACGAUGCAUAGCCGACCUGAGAGGGUGAUCGGCCACACUGGAACUGAGACACGGUCCAGACUCCUACGGGAGGCAGCAGUAGGGAAUCUUCCGCAAUGGGCGAAAGCCUGACGGAGCAACGCCGCGUGAGUGAUGAAGGUCUUCGGAUCGUAAAACUCUGUUAUUAGGGAAGAACAUAUGUGUAAAUAACUGUGCACAUCUUGACGGUACCUAAUCAGAAAGCCACGGCUAACUACGUG